CCUAUUCCCGCUUCAGUCGACUACCCAAUAUAUCGAUCUGCAACUCUGCCCUAUUCACGGUAGCGUUUCACUAGCUUUGCCCUAUUCUCCAUCUUCAAAGGUUUUGACAGAAUUGAUCGUAUCCUACACUUUGGUGUCUUCAUCGGAUAAACGUUCUACUUCGAGGUGAUGAUAUAAGAGGAAUGAUACAUGAUGCCUUUGGUGGUUGUACACAAUCUAUCGAUAUUGAUGUCAAUGAAAGGGUCGAUAUGGAGCCAAACCUACAGGAAAAUGCUACUCAUACAUCUGGAAAUCAAUCCCAUCAAAAGAUUGAUAAAUUUGAACAGCUCAUGAAGGAGGCAAAUGAAGAACUAUAUCCUGGAUGUAAGAAAUUUAGCAAAUUGUCCUUUUUGCUACAUAUCUAUCGUACAAAUUGUAUCUUAUUGGUUUUUCGACAAAGCUAAGGUAUCAACAAAUAUUUACAGCAUUCUCCUAGUUGCUAAUUUUCAUAGUGUUUAGAGUUUUGUUUUGCUCAAUUUUUAUUUAUAAAUCAUAAGAUAUUGUUUUAAUUUUUCAAUGACAGAGACGUACCCAAGAAAAUAGAUAUAAUAGGACCAAGCAAAAGAUGCCUCACACAGGAGGAUCCAAAAGUAUUGCGACCUUGAUGAAUGAGCAGGAAAACCUGUUGAAAUUAAAAAUUAUAAUAAUUUAACUCUUCUUGUUAAGAAUAGAUGACAUCAAUUUUAUUGUAUUAGACUGCAAAUGGUAGAGAGCCUACACGAGCAUAAAUAUUCUUAUUAACUCAUAAACAACGUGUGGAUGGUAGACCGUUGGAUGAUGAUUCGGCCAAAGCAAUUGACAUGAUUAAUGAGAAGAAGAGCAAUAGUGAGGGAUCUACUGACCAACCUCCUCACCGUGUUGCUUGGAAUGGCGAUGUGUAUUCCCAGUUUCCCGGCGCUGAUAGUGGCCAUGGACAAAUAGCACAAACAACAUGGAAACCUAGUGUUGCUGAAAAUACUCCAACUUCUCAUCGUCAUACGGUAUGAUGUUCACAAAUUUUUCUUAUGAAAUAUUUUAGUACGGCGAACCAUCGUGGAAAUUCUUUGAAGACAUUAUUUUAUUGGAUUGGUUAUAUAAUGAUAUUAGAUAUUUCAUUCAAAUAAGUUUAGUUUUUAAGUUGUGAUACUAUAGUUUGGAUUAAGUUCUGAAUUUUAUUAUAUAUUUUUUGGCAUUUGACAAACUUCAUUGCCUGUAAUAAGCUCUCUUUUGAUUAGAAUUUUGUUG